UGGCCUCAGAGGUAUUGUCCUGGUGUGUGUGUGAGAGGCAUUAAGGUGGCCUGCUGCUGGGAGCCCCUCAGUUUGUCCUCUGCUGUUGUCCGGUGAAUUUUGCAUUUCAAAUUUAAAAAGAUGCCAGCAACUAGACGCGAAAUACGUACUUUUGUCAUGCAACUACGGUACUUCAUCCUGUUAAUACUACUGUUUAUAAUCCUUGGCGCUUUCUUAAGAAUGGUGUACCACUAUCUCACGGAAUUGUACAUGAAGGGUGCGCAUCUCUCAUAACCUGCGUCCAGAGGGUUCCUGUUGUAACGACAAAAUGCUGCCAGAUGGAAACUACGGUCAUCCAGAUAACUCUACUUGUCUACUAAAUAUUGUUAAUGUUAAAUAUAAAAUUUAUAUAGAUUGUUAAUAAAGCUAAAGAAAACGUU